GACGAAGGAGUCUAACACGUGCGCAAGUUGGUGGGCUUUUUGUUGAAACCCACGGGCGAAAGUGAAAGCGAAGAGGUUUUGAGAAAGUCCCUGGUGGCGGACUCUUGCCUUUAUGGAGGAUCCACGCAAGAUCUUUUUCUUGUUGGCGCACUCCAGGGGCGUUCUUUCUUGCACCUGUAUCUCUGCUCCCCAAGGUUUUUCGGGUUGGAUUGGCGCUUUCGGGUGUUUUUUCAAUUUCGGGCGAUUGCGGGGUUUAAAGCAUGUACGAUGCUGUUGGAAGGGCGCACCAAGAGCGUACGCGUUGGGACCCGAAAGAUGGUGAACUAUGCCUGGCCAGGAUGAAGCCAGAGGAAACUCUGGUGGAGGUCCGUAGCGAUUCUGACGUGCAAAUCGAUCGUCUGAGCUGGGUAUAGGGGCGAAAGACUAAUCGAACCAUCUAGUAGCUGGUUCCCUCCGAAGUUUCCCUCAGGAUAGCUGGAGCUCUAAUUGUGUUGUGAACGAGUCUCAUCCGGUAAAGCGAAUGAUUAGAGGCCUUGGGGUUGAAAUGACCUCAACCUAUUCUCAAACUUUAAAUGGGUGAGAAACCAGACUUUCUUGACUGAAGCUCUGGUCUCCGAUCCAUGUGCAGCCCAGUGGGCCACUCUUGGUAAGCAGGACUGGCGAUGUGGGAUGAACCAAACGUCGGGUUACGGCGCCAAAGUCGAUGCCGAUUCAGAAACCAGGAAAGGCGUUGG
rnacentral:rRNA from 1 species